UACGUAGGGAGCAAGCGUUGUCCGGAAUCAUUGGGCGUAAAGCGCGCGUAGGUGGCUCUAUAAGUCCGUUGUGAAAGUCAAAGGCUCAACCUUUGAAAGCCGAUGGAUACUGUAGAGCUAGAGUCCGGAAGAGGAGAGUGGAAUUCCUGGUGUAGCGGUGGAAUGCGCAGAUAUCAGGAGGAACACCAAUGGCGAAGGCAGCUCUCUGGUACGUGACUGACGCUGAGACGCGAAAGCGUGGGUAGCAAACAGG
rnacentral:rRNA from 1 species